CUAGAACUAAAUUAUGGAAACGUUAAUGUGGUGGGAUUAUCUUAUUUUAAAAUAUAUAGCUACGUGAUUAGAUUUAUAUUUCCUUGACGACCAUACUGACAUAAUUAAUAUUUAACAAAGGGUUCAAAGGAUUCCUCCUAGUUAACGCCUCCCCCAUUCAGCGGAUGAGUCCGUGUGAGCAGGAAGAAAAAAUAGUUCUUUUGUUCCAGCCAUAGACUGUAGCUAUAUAGAAGGUUCCAGCCGAAGUAGCUAGCUAACGCUUGAGACACGGAGCAGAGAAUAGAUGAUCAAAUCAGAUUAAGCAAAGACCUGUAGUGGUUACAGUCCUGCUGCCAGUUGCCAAAGAUAAAUUCAUGGCCAGGUCGUCGUCAUCGUCUUCUUCGCCUUCUUCUCCCCUUUUGUCUGCUCUCGUCUACAUCCUUACUUCAUUCCUGGGUGUCCUCAGCGGUGGUGUGGAAUUCUACGAGACAUUGGAGUCUUCAGCCCAGCUUGCUCUGUUGUAGAGAAGUGUCUGGUCCUGGAGUGGCGAGCCAAACAAGGAGAUACUGAAAUAAAAAGAGGGAAGAAAAGUGGUAGGACAAUAACAUUUUGCUUGCCCCACACCGAGUUUGAAGGAGACAGACAUUGUUACGCUACACUUUAACGGUCAAAGGAUACAACACCGCAAUGGAUGGAUUUUCCCAGUAACUCACUGAACUGAACUCUUUGGUCAUUGUCCUAUCAAUACUAUAGUGAUGGAUUUGUCAUUGAAGUCAUAGCUCUAGAAUGUGUUGUUGAGUUAUAUCAUUACUCUGAUCGUUACAGGUAAAAGCACAGGUUAACGUGACGGGUGACACUGAGGUUUCAUGUCAUUCAUUUUCAUGUUGAUAUACAUGCAAGUUUGUUAUUGGUAUUUGAUUUUUGGGUUAUACAAGGAAAAGAGAGUACCGAAAUAGUCAGAGGAUCCUCUUGUUUAGGUAGAGGCACUAUUAAAUAGGAUCUAUAAACCCUAAUAUAAAUCAGUAAAAAGAAAAAAAUAAUGAGUGACUGACUAAUAAUACGGAACUAGCGUAGCAUUACAUCUUGAAUCUAAAUAGGGAUAUGUAAACAAACUAAGUACUCGCUUGACAAGUGGAUUCUUAACUAGAUUUAAUGGAAACAAAACCAAAAAAUUCUUAAGGGUGUUUUAUGGUAAUUCUACAUAUGAUGUUGCACCUGUGAUGUUUUGAGAAGAAUACUGUUCUAAGAAAACCGGUUGAAUGAGAGAAUAGAGAGAAUUAAAGUUUAUUUCCUUACCUCUUCAAACUUACCUAUUGAGUUGUGUCUUGUCUCACUCUUGCUGCAGAUGCCCAUUUCUCCUGAGCGAUCUAGAUCUUCUGAGACGCUCGGCUUGCAAAUAUUCAUGUUAACAGACUGGCUACUGUUUGCUAACUUAAUGCAAACCAGUGUUGCUGAUAGCUACAGUUGUGUUCAAAAUAAUAGCAGUCCAACAUCACUAACCUCAAAAAUCUAAUUUUUUGGUAAAAGUGAUAUUUCAACAUGGCAAAUAACUUACUAGUAAGUGUUGUAGAGUCAUCGAAAACCAACAGACCCAACAGUCAUCACAUGCAUGCUGCUCAUUCUG